AUAUCAAUAAGCGGAGGAAAAGAAACUAACAAGGAUUCCCCUAGUAACGGCGAGUGAACCGGGAAAAGCUCAAAUUUGAAAUCUGGCUGUCUUCGAUAGUCCGAGUUGUAAUCUAUAGAAGCGUUUUCCGUGCUGAACUGUGUCUAAGUCCCUUGGAACAGGGUAUCAAAGAGGGUGAUAAUCCCGUACUUGACACAACCAUCAGUGCUCUGUGAUACGUUCUCUACGAGUCGAGUUGUUUGGGAAUGCAGCUCAAAAUGGGUGGUAAAUUCCAUCUAAAGCUAAAUAUUGGCGAGAGACCGAUAGCGAACAAGUACCGUGAGGGAAAGAUGAAAAGCACUUUGGAAAGAGAGUUAAACAGUACGUGAAAUUGUUGAAAGGGAAACGAUUGAAGUCAGUCGUGUUCAUUGGAUUCAGCUAGUUCUUCUAGUCUACUUCCUUUGAACGGGUCAACAUCAGUUUUGUCCGGUGGAUAAAGGAUUUAGGAAUGUGACUCCCUCGGGAGUGUUAUAGCCUAGGUUCACAUACACUGGGUGAGACUGAGGACUGCAGCUCGCCUUUUGGCCGGGGUUCGCCCACGUUCGAGCUUAGGAUGUUGACAUAAUGGCUUUAAACGACCCGUCUUGAAACACGGACCA
rnacentral:rRNA from 1 species